rnacentral:piRNA from 6 species
GGUUAGCACUCUGGACUCUGAAUC